rnacentral:rRNA from 1 species
GAUGAACGCCGGCGGUGUGCCUAAUACAUGCAAGUCGAACGCGUUGGCCCAACUGAUUGAACGUGCUUGCACGGACUUGACGUUGGUUUACCAACGAGUGGCGGACGGGUGAGUAACACGUAGGUAACCUGCCCCAAAGCGGGGGAUAACAUUUGGAAACAGAUGCUAAUACCGCAUAACAAUUUGAACCGCAUGAUUCAAAUUUAAAAGAUGGCUUCGGCUAUCACUUUGGGAUGGACCUGCGGCGCAUUAGCUUGUUGGUAGGGUAACGGCCUACCAAGGCUGUGAUGCGUAGCCGAGUUGAGAGACUGAUCGGCCACAAUGGAACUGAGACACGGUCCAUACUCCUACGGGAGGCAGCAGUAGGGAAUCUUCCACAAUGGGCGCAAGCCUGAUGGAGCAACACCGCGU